rnacentral:pre_miRNA from 1 species
CAUCACCCUCAGCAUUCUCAACAUGUCCAAAAAUCACGUUGAGAAUUUGUGGGCGGUAA